CUUCGCCUACGGGGGGCAGCAGUGGGGAAUAUUGCACAAUGGGGGAAACCCUGAUGCAGCAACGCCGCGUGAGUGAAGAAGUCAUUCGUGAUGUAAAGCUCUAUCAGCAGGGAAGAAAAUGACGGUACCUGACUAAGAAGCCCCGGCUAACUACGUGCCAGCAGCCGCGGUAAUACGUAGGGGGCAAGCGUUAUCCGGAUUUACUGGGUGUAAAGGGAGCGUAGGCGGUGCAGCAAGUCAGAAGUGAAAGCCCGGGGCUCAACUCCGGGACUGCUUUUGAACCUGUUGAACUAGAUUGCAGGAGG
rnacentral:rRNA from 1 species